AGGGGGUUAGGGUUAUGGGACAGGGGGUUAGGGUUAUGGGACAGGGGGUUAGGGUAAUGUGACAGGGAUUUAGGGUUAUGGGACAGGACAAGGGGGUUUAGGAUUGUGGGACAGGGAGAUAGGGUUAUGGGACAGUUGGUUAGGGUCAUGGGACACGUAUUUAGGGUUAUGGGACAGGGAGAUAGGGUUAUGUGACAGGGGUUUAGGGUUAUGGGACAUGAGGUUAGGUUUUAGGGUUAUGGGACAGUGUGUUAGGGUUAUGGGACAGGGGUUUAGGGUUUAGGGUUAUGGGACAGGGGGUUAGGGUUUAGGGUUAUGGGACAGGGGUUUAGGGUUAUGGGACAGGAUGUUAGGGUAAUGGCACAGGGAUUUAGGGUUAUGGGACAGGGGACAGGGGGUUUAGGAUUGUGGGACAGGGGGAUAGGGUUAUGGGACAGGGCUUUAGGGUUAUGGGACAGGAUGUUAGGGUAAUGGCACAGGGAUUUAGGGUUAUGGGACAGGGGACAGGGGUUUAGGAUUGUGGGACAGGGGGAUAGGGUUAUGGGACAGGUAGUUAGGGUCAUGGGACACGGGUUUAGGGUUAUGGGACAGGGGGUUAGGGUUAUGGGACAGGGGUUUAGGGUUAUGGGACAUG
ensembl:lncRNA